UGAGGAACUGAGGUGAUUUCUCUUGCUAUUGUGAGCACAGUCGGCCCUUGAGCUCCUAGGAUGCACUCCAGCUGUGAGCAAGGCUGUCUGCCCCACCGCUGACGUCCAAGCUCAUCAGGACAUCACCAUAGCUACAGAGCAGGUGCCCAGAGCCCUGAGCCCACAGCGGGUCUGGAAAACAAGCCUGUGUGUGGGGUGGUGGGGAAUGAUAGGAAGAUGCAGCCCUGGGGGAGAGGGAAGCUACAGAGGCAUUAGAAAACUUUAACAGGAACAAAAAAGCCAGUCUGUGAAGGAGAACAGGAAAUGGAGAGAGCUUCUUCUGCUCACUCACCAAGUCAGGAGCAUGGAUACCCCCCUGGGCCACUUCAUCGGGACCCGCCUUCAGCUGAAGAGUAGGGCAGACAACGAUGGAGAUGCUCAGAGUGAGUCAAGCUGGUUCCAACUGGGCGGGAUCUGCGGACCCAGGCAGCCAUUGCUGUUAGAAGAUCUGAGCUUCAGAAUGAGCUGCCUCUCCUCAGCUCCAUGUCGACUCCUGAGCUCCACUGGGAAGAGUGGACGUCCCAUUGUACAAGACGGAGGACUUGUCAGGUGCCAUCAGCAUGAUUGCCGUUGAUGCUGGCCUCUGUCAUGUGGUCAUGGUGGUGCAGGAUCAGGACCUGCUCUCUGAGGAGUUUUUAUUGUUGUGGGCAUAAAGUUUGGUACACUGCUGAUUGUCUCCCUGUAAAAAACGUGAAGCUCUGCCCUGCUGGCAGUUAACUUGCUGACAGUUCUCCCUUUUGCAGUUCCUGGCUCACAAAUUACAGCUGCUUCAGCAGCCCGAAGUUUGGAUCCCUCUUUCCGCCGCUGCCUGAGACUCCUGCUCUCUGUUUGGCUCUACAUCCCUACACCGUGCUUUGGAAAUGGCCUCCCACCAGGAGAAACCAGAGUACAUGUGGCCCUCCCCCAUUCCCUUCCCUCAAAGAUCAUGGGCCUCCCUGUGAACACCGCAGUCUUUCCUCAGUCAUUCCUGUUUCAUCGGUUCACGAUAGAAGGCUUGCGAAUGUUAAUCUGCAAAUGAGUUUUAAACGAUUCAAAAAGAAUUAAGAGUCUGGAUAAACUGAAAAGUCAUAACUAUUUCAUCUUUUGAUUUUAAUUCCCCAAGAAUGUGAAGAAUAGAUCUCACAACACCAACCACAAAAUUAACUAUGUGAGGUAAUGUGUAUGUUAAUAGAUGGAUUUAGCCAUUUACCAUGUGAACAUGUAUUGAAAAUCAUGCGGUACAUCAUAAAUAUACGACGUUUUUACUUAGUUAUAAAGCUAACAAAACACUGCUUGUUACCUGCUCAUAGGGAGGACUCAGGUGGUAAGGCUGAAAAAGGUGGACCACUAAUCGUUCAUUUCUAGUAUUAUGUCCUUACCUAAGACUCGGGAAAGUCCUGUGACAGCUGUCACUUCAGAUGUCACUCUGUCUCAAAUUGUAACUACCUUAUUAUGGUAGGUCUCCUUAGUCAAUAAGAAGGUAGUGCUUGAUUAAUUGAUCACAAAGCAGGGUAAAAAGCUUGACCUAUAGCUAGAAGUAAAACCAUGAUCUACAUGUGUUCUAUGGAUGGGGAGGUUGGCCCCACAGCUUAAAAAAGAAUUCUCAUAAAUGAAAGGAUGA